UCCCGUGUGGCUCAGUUGGUACAGCAUGGUGUUUAUAAUGCCAGGGUUGUGGGUUUGAUUCCCACGAGGGAC
rnacentral:tRNA from 1 species